ensembl:lncRNA
AUGGGGCGCAUCGCUGCGCGGAGCUGUGCAUGGGGACAGGGGGGACGGGAGGGCGCAGGGGCCAGAGCGGUACCGGGGGGUGUCUGUGUGUGUCUGUGUGUGUCUGUGUGUGUCUGUGUGUGUCUGUGUGUGUCUGUGUGUGUCUGUGUGUGUCUGUGUGUGUCUGUGUGUGUCUGUGUGUGUGCAUGCCCAAAGCCUGGGCAGAGCGCGAGCGUGUGCAAGGGCCGGGCAGAGUCCACGUGCCCAAGUGUGAGCAAGGGCAGGACGAGGUGUCCGUGCGUGCCGUGCCAGAUGGUGCCUGUGCCAGGAGCCAGGGUGUGCAUGCGCUGGACAGGGCACACGGGGGUGAGGACGGCCGGGGUCCGCAAGCAGCGGCUGUGCGGCGCCAGGAUCUCUUGUCAGAACCUUCUGCCGAAGGAGGAAGCUGGGAAGGGGAUUAAAGCUCCUGCCGGCGCCGUGUGUGCGUGCACGCGCGGGCUGCGCGCCUGCAUGUUGCUGCUUGAGGAGCUGGUUUGGGCUGCGCCCGGCUCCGUGGGAAGCCUGCGCUGGGCUCCGUGCAGCUCCGGUGCUGCGGCCAUGGGGUGGCACGGCACGGCUGCCGUUGGUGCUGGUAUCCCUGGGGCCGGGGGCACUGCGGGUGGGUGUCCUGGGGCUGCCCCCGCGUGGGUGCUGGCUCCGCACAGGUGCCGUGGGAGCUGGGUCAGGCAGCAGCGAGAGGCAGCGGUGGGGGGGGCUCACCUCGGGGCUGGAAGCUGCAUGGAAAGGGCCCGGGGAGGCUGCAACCCAGUAGGCAGAGGCUGUGGAGGGGUCAGUGGGAGCCCGCGAGCCUCGCAAAGCCCCAGGGGACCAGGCAGGGAGCAGAGCUGCAGCGAUCCCACGCACUGCCGGAUGCGCCGGGGCAAAGCCAGGGGCGGGCGGGGAACUCCGCAGCCGUCCUGCGGGAACCCGGCACGGGGCUUUUUGGGCUGGGGGCACGGCGGGGCUGCCUGGAUGAGCGCUGCCAGGGAAAGCCCCACACGGCCGGGAAGGCUCCGGGGUUUCCGGGCACCAGCUGCCUCCUGUAAACACGUCCGAGGAAGGGGCAGGCGAGCGCGAGGCCUUGCCCCGCCGGUGCUUCCUGUCCCUGCCGGGCUGCAGGAAUUUGGCCUCUGUCCCUGCUCCCCGGGGCUUGUGGCCAAGCGGCGUCCGGCCUCGACCCAGACGAGCCGUGCCGGGACGAGCCCCCGGCCCCGUGGUGCAGGGCCAGCAGCGCCGUGUGGCCGCAUCCAGCUGCAGCGGGGGGCUUGGUGGGCUCAGGGUGGUGCAGGGCUGCGUGUGCCCACCGGGAGCAGCGUGCCUGUGCGUGCAGGGGGGGUACAGUGUGUGUGGGGGGGUGCCAGGUCGUGGGGGUCUGCGUGCCAGCAGGGGUGGGGGCACCUCGUGUGCGCGGGGUCACCGCCCGUCUGUGUGCACUGCGGGACGUGGGUACGGGUGUUAGAGCGCACGGACGCGUGUGCGUGCCGGGACAUGUGUGCACCGCUGUGUGCAGGGGUUGGGGCGUGCGUGCGUGUCUGCAUGCACACCGGCAUGUGGGUGUACCUGUGUGUGUACAGGGGUCACGGCACGCGUGUGCGUGUUCACAGGGGCGAAGGGGGACGUGCCUGCAGGGACAGCUGCGUGUGCGUGGGGUUGCACCGUGCCUGUGCGUGCGGGGUUGCAGCGUGGCCGUGUCCCUGUGUGUGCGUGGCACCGUGCCGGUGGCGCAGGAAGGUGCGGGGGGCUCAGGCCGGGCUGCAGGGGCAGUGCCGGUGCUGCCGUGUGCCCAUGUGCCGGCAGUGCCGGUGUGUGCGCGGGGGGAUCCCCACCACAGUCCCUGGGUGCCCCCAGCCACGUGGUGUGCGAUCCCCCCCCCACUGCCCCCACACCCCGCCGCAUGUUCCUGCGGGGCAGGGGGCUGGGUUGGGGCAGGGCCUGGUGCCGAUGGGGAGGGGGCAGCAGAUGGAUGAGCACCGGGGGCUGGGGGGCAAGGGCUCAGCUGCCAGCAUGCAGCCCCCUUGGUGCCCCGUGGCUGUGCCGUGCCUGGAGCUGGGCCCCAGGCCAGGGCUGCUGCUCACCGGUCACGGCCACGAGUGGGAAGGCGGAGGGGGGCUGGGGUGUCCGUGUGUGCCAGUGCCAGGCUGGGGCAUGCAGUGCCCCUGGGGUGUGGGGGCUGCGGAGGAGGUGGGCAGUGGGCUCAGGGACCUGGCACAGCCGUGGGGCAGAGCGCGGCCCCAGAGGUGUCAGCGCUUGUGGGGCUGGGUGGGGGCUCGUGGCGGGGCUCCCGGCCACGCUCACGUAGUGCAGUGGCCGCGGCAUGGGGUGGCUGUGGUGGGACGUGGGCUCCCGUGUCCCCAGGGAGCCCUGUGGGACGGGACGAGAGGGGCCGGGAGGCGACGGGCGCUCAUCCCAGUGCUGCUGGUUUGGAGGCUGGGAGCCUGCGGGCGCAGCCGGGCUGCUGGCGGCACCUCCCCACCAGCCCUUGUGGCGUGGCGCGGGUACGUGUGGGGCUGCAGGUAG